AAGUCGUAACAAGGUUUCCGUAGGUGAACCUGCGGAAGGAUCAUUACCUUUCAAUGCAGCAGAAUUGGGAUGGUUGAGUAUCUCGCCUCUCCGUUCUGCCUGUAUUCUACCCUUGUUUGUCAUAUACUAUUAUUUCCUCGGCAGGCUUGCCUGCCGAGUGAAACCAUUUAUAACCUUUUUAAUUUUCAAUCAGCGUCUGAAAAAAAUUAAUAAUUACAACUUUCAACAACGGAUCUCUUGGCUCUC
rnacentral:misc_RNA from 1 species